GACGAACGCUGGCGGCGUGCUUAACACAUGCAAGUCGAACGGAAAGGCCCUGCUUUUGUGGUGUGCUCGAGUGGCGAACGGGUGAGUAACACGUGAGUAACCUACCCUUGACUUUGGGAUAACUUCAGGAAACUGGGGCUAAUACCGUAUAGGAGCUCCUGCUGCAUGGUGGGGGUUGGAAAGUUUCGGCGGUUGGGGAUGGACUCGCGGCUUAUCAGCUUGUUGGUGGGGGAGGUGCUUACCAAGGCUUUGACGGGUAGCCGGCCCGAGAGGGGGAACGGCCACAUUGGGCCUGAGGUACGGCGCAGACUGCUACGUGGGACAGCAGUGGGGAAUCUUGCACAGUGGGAGGACGUCUGAUGAAGCGACGCUGCGUGCGGGAUGACGGUCUUCGGGUUGUGAACCGCUUUAGCCUGUGACGAAGCGUGAGUGACGGUAAUGGGUAAAGAAGCACCGGCUAACUACGUG
rnacentral:rRNA from 1 species